UGGAAACGGUAGAAACUUAACCCUGAGA
rnacentral:piRNA from 1 species